rnacentral:rRNA from 1 species
UACGAAGGGGGCUAGCGUUGCUCGGAAUCACUGGGCGUAAAGGGUGCGUAGGCGGGUCUUUAAGUCAGGGGUGAAAUCCUGGAGCUCAACUCCAGAACUGCCUUUGAUACUGAAGAUCUUGAGUUCGGGAGAGGUGAGUGGAACUGCGAGUGUAGAGGUGAAAUUCGUAGAUAUUCGCAAGAACACCAGUGGCGAAGGCGGCUCACUGGCCCGGUACUGACGCUGAGGUGCGAAAGCGGUGGGGAGCAAACAGGG